UGAAUAAAGUAUAAUAUUCGUGAAUAUAUUAUGUAAUCACAAUUUGUAAAUGAACAGAAUACAAUUUUUCUGAAUGAGUAGAAUAUAUUCAGAUUUCGUAAAAGCAAGAAUUUCCCCAAAUUUUCAGUAAUUAAGCUCAAUGCAGCACCCACACGACCAGGACGCUUUGGGGAUUGGGCUGACGUAGUUCUGCAAUGAAACAAAAGAGGAUUCAAUCAUAAACCCAUUAAAGAUACAAUAUUAAAGUUUAAAAAAAGCUCCUGAUGCAAGAUGACGGAUUUCAGGUCACUUUUAGAAAAACUAGUUGAUGCCGGCGACCGGGAACCACGAUCCGGCCUACUGUGGACGGGUUGAUGCCGGCGACCGAUUUUCUUCAAAAAAAAUUCGCUGAAAAACCGAGGGUCUUCAACGGAUUGUUUGAUUUGCAGGAAUUAUGAAAACCCUAAUAAUUUACAGAAUAAAAGAAUGAAUGAAGGUGAAGGCGUGAAUUUCGGAAGAGAGAGAUUUCUGCAGAUCGUGUGUGGGGUUUAAAAGACUGAAUAACCCUUUUAUGAAUA
rnacentral:lncRNA from 1 species